rnacentral:rRNA from 1 species
GCCUACGGGCGGCUGCAGUAGGGAAUCUUGCGCAAUGGGCGAAAGCCUGACGCAGCCAUGCCGCGUGAAUGAUGAAGGUCUUAGGAUUGUAAAAUUCUUUCACCGGGGACGAUAAUGACGGUACCCGGAGAAGAAGCUCCGGCUAACUUCGUGCCAGCAGCCGCGGUAAUACGAAGGGGGCUAGCGUUGCUCGGAAUUACUGGGCGUAAAGGGCGCGUAGGCGGACAGUUUAGUCAGAGGUGAAAGCCCAGGGCUCAACCUUGGAAUAGCCUUUGAUACUGGCUGUCUUGAGUGCGGGAGAGGUGUGUGGAACUCCGAGUGUAGAGGUGAAAUUCGUGGAUAUUCGGAAGAACACCAGUGGCGAAGGCGACACACUGGCCCGUUACUGACGCUGAGGCGCGAAAGCGUGGGGAGCAAACAGGAUUAGAUACCCCGGUAGUCG